UCAUGACCUUACCUAAAAUCAGAAUCAAACACUAUUUCUCCAUUUUCAUGGCAUCUUCUUCUUUUCCCAGUAUUUCACUAGUUCCUCCAUGUAAAUACGAUCUGGAUCCAUAAAAAAUGGCUAAUCUAAAAGGCUUUGACAUACCCAAUCGGGUUGAAUCAGGGAGCAUUAACUCGAUUGUUGGUCAAAUUUCUUCAUCACAAUGGAGAACAUCGGAGACCAUGGAGAACAUCAGAGAACAUGGUGCAGUGAUGAUCAAUAAUACAAGUAAGGUGACUAAAGCAGUAGAGGCAAUCUGGAUUCCUCUAUUCGUUAUGUUGGUUUGUUAGGGAUGGCUAUUCUUCGGGAUCACUUCCAUCUUAUUGGAACCAAAAGACUUGUUUGUAUUUGAUUCACAGUUUCACACAGAGUUAACUACAUUAAUGUUAACUACGAAGAGAGGAAUAAAGGUACUGAGAAUGCGAGCUAUUUGUUGGUGCAUUGUCCAGUAGACAAGCUAGAGACGUCUUGACGUAUGUUCUUAAACCCUUUUGGUCUGCAGUGGGUUAUCCCAUGCAGCUUGACGGAAACUUUUCAUUAGUUGUAGCCAUCCAAGAAGACCUGAUUCAAUAGCAGCUCCUACAUACGUUCAUUUUGCACUUUCUAACAUCUAGCUAUCGCUAUCUAGCAGGCCCUAUGGAGCUGAAUCCAAGAUACUUUGGUGGGGCUGCAACAGGUAUGGCUAUCUACACGAGUUAUCUUAUGAAUCUGCUUUCUUGUGUUAUUCCAGUGUUUGCUUCAUUUGAACCUUACUGAGAGAUAAGUAGUUGCAACACAAGCUAACCCUAUCUAAACUUUAGGUGUCUUGUGAAACUAUGUAAAUCUUAUUUUUGACUUUUAUCGUUUCUCUCAAGUUUUAAGCAUGAACCAAAUAUGUUGUUUCUGUAACUUCAUUCUUUCAUUGUAUGCAACGAAUCAAUAAAAUCCCAAGUUGAUAGUUUAAUAUACUUGUAAUAAGAACCACCACAAUCCCCUUUGUCUCGGAUAUGAGCCGGUUAACAAUGGUUUCAAUAAAAAUGGAUAACAUUUUUACUA